rnacentral:rRNA from 1 species
UACGCAGGCAGCAAGCGUUGUUCGGAGUUACGGGGCGUAAAGAGUGCGUAGGUGGUGCCCUAAGUCUGUUGUGAAAUCUCCCGGCUUAACUGGGAGGGUGCGGUGGAAACUGGGGUGCUUGAGUGUGGGAGAGGUAAGCGGAAUUCCUGGUGUAGCGGAGAAAUGCGUAGAUAUCAGGAGGAACACCGGUGGUGUAGACGGCUUACUGGACCACGACUGACACUGAGGCACGAAAGCGUGGGUAGCAAACAGG